rnacentral:misc_RNA from 1 species
AAGUCGUAACAAGGUUUCCGUAGGUGAACCUGCGGAAGGAUCAUUAACACGUAUCCAACGUUAAACCCCCCGUGCAUCUUUAGAGAGCUCUUGUAAGCCCAUUAUGAUAGCAAUCCUGGUAAAUCAGUGGCGAAAGUAGUCUUUGAUUCAGGACCUCUGUCUGGUGAGAACCUAGCGGUAAGCGAGCAAUUGAGCCUUUUAUCGUCAGUCUGGAGUCCUGGCCGGGCGAAUGAAAGUGUCGCUGGACGGUUUCUAGGGUAAGGCUUCGCCAUCACUGGAGGCUCAACACGCCAUGCCCCUUUAUGACGACCAAGUUAAAUAAGGCCUCUACCACAUAGCAAGUGCGCCGUGGUAGAGGAAAACGUACAACUGUUAACAAUGGAUAUCUUGGUUCUC